AGUUAGGAAACUGACUGUCGCUCUCUCCGGCCUCGGCGCUGCUUCGGACGCCCCGGCACCGGCCCCCGUUGCUUUGUAGCAUUCUGCAGCUGGGCUGCAGGCGCCGUGGGCCUCCGCCAGUUGUGUUCGAGACGCGGUUCGGCCACAGAAGUUUUAGCUUGUGACUUUUGGCAAGUCAGUGGCCCUCUCUGGGCCUCAGGUGCCUUUUUUGCUGUGAGACCAGCGACUGUAUUUUUAACCCUGAUUUUAUCCCUAGAUCUACCCAACACAUAGUAGGUGCUCAAAAGAUAUUUAUGAGUGAAUGAAUGCAUCAUGAGAAGAAAUUGGACCAGAUGAGGCCCUGUGAAGCUGCUUGGGUCUUUUUUUGUUCUUUUUUUUUUCUCUCUUCUGAGUGUCCCUGGCCUGGACUAGAAAUUCUCCAUCCUUCGGCCUUCUGCGAGACUGCAGGAACAUUACUUUUGAAGGAUGCUAAGGAAUCCGAGGGAUGAAAAAAAUCAAGAGAUUGCAAUGAUGUCACAAAACAAGGAAACAAGAGAGAGAGUGAGACAGAGAGACCAACAGAAAGACACAGCACAUGAGAGAAGUUGCAA
rnacentral:lncRNA from 10 species